rnacentral:rRNA from 1 species
CCUACGGGAGGCAGCAGUGGGGAAUAUUGGACAAUGGGCGAAAGCCUGAUCCAGCAAUGCCGCGUGAGUGAUGAAGGCCUUAGGGUUGUAAAGCUCUUUUACCAGGGAUGAUAAUGACAGUACCUGGAGAAUAAGCUCCGGCUAACUCCGUGCCAGCAGCCGCGGUAAUACGGAGGGAGCUAGCGUUGUUCGGAAUUACUGGGCGUAAAGCGUACGUAGGCGGUUAUUCAAGUCAGAGGUGAAAGCCCGGGGCUCAACCCCGGAACGGCCUUUGAAACUAGGUAGCUAGAGUCUUGGAGAGGUUAGUGGAAUUCCGAGUGUAGAGGUGAAAUUCGUAGAUAUUCGGAAGAACACCAGUGGCGAAGGCGACUAACUGGACAAGUACUGACGCUGAGGUACGAAAGCGUGGGGAGCAAACAGGAUUAGAUACCCUGGUAGUCCACGCCGUAAACGAUGAUAACUAGCUGUUCGGGCACUUGGUGCCUGAGUGGCGCAGCUAACGACAUUAAGUUAAUUCCGUCCGUCGGGUAGGUACGGUCGGCGAAGAAUUAAAACUUAACAAAGAAAGUUAGUACGGACGUGAGACGNGCGACGACGACACGAGGGAGUAGG